rnacentral:rRNA from 1 species
AGAGUUUGAUCCUGGCUCAGAACGAACGCUGGCGGCGUGCCUAACACAUGCAAGUCGAACGAGAAACUCCGGGCUUGCUCGGAGGAGUAAAGUGGCGCACGGGUGAGUAACGCGUGGGUGACCUACCUUUGAAAUCGGGAUAACUUCGCGAAAGCGUAGCUAAUACCGGAUAUUGUCCCUUUUGGGAUGAAAGGCAACCUCUUCCUGAAAGUUGCCGUUCAGAGAUGGGCCCGCGUCCCAUUAGCUUGUUGGUAGGGUAACGGCCUACCAAGGCGACGAUGGGUAGCUGGUCUGAGAGGAUGAUCAGCCACACUGGCACUGGAACACGGGCCAGACUCCUACGGGAGGCAGCAGUGAGGAAUUUUGCGCAAUGGGGGAAACCCUGACGCAGCAACGCCGCGUGAGUGAAGAAGGCUUUCGGGUCGUAAAGCUCUGUCAAGUGGGAAAAAACGUCCCGGGUCAACAACCCGGGAAACUGAUGGUACCACUGGAGGAAGCACCGGCUAACUCCGUGCCAGCAGCCGCGGUAAUACGGAGGUGCAAGCGUUGUUCGGAAUUACUGGGCGUAAGCGCGUGCAGGCGGUUUGGCAAGUCAGAUGUGAAAGCCCUGGGCUUACUCAGGAAGUGCAUUUGAAACUGCUU